UAUACAACUUAACAUGAUUUUUCACAGCCGAGAAAGUAAAAAAAAAUUUACAAUAAAAAAUUGAUGAUGUAAAUUUAAUGAACGACGUCGUUUAGUUGUGGUUAGUUGACUGACUGUGUUCCAUUUGGUAUCCGGGUCCGCCGCACUCAGAGAUUGAUAGUCGACGAGAACCCCGAAAAACAUUUGAACGGAUCGGUGUAAAGGUACCGUCGUUGGAUAGGCCCAAAUCGCCAGUGGACGUUGGCGGAGAUCUCGAAUACUUCUAAAGGUGAGUUCGUUCUGUGCUUCAUCCAUUCUGUCUCGCUAUGUUCAGUUUUCAAUGGACGAAAAGAUAUUUGCAAUUACUAGUAGUUCCAUUAAGAGAUUCGACUACCCAUUUGAGAUUGUUGCACAGCCGUGAACCUCUUACUAUCAUGAAAUCUUUUUCAUCGAUGAUUAAUGAGGCCUCAAUAGCGGGUCAGGAAGAAAAAGAACUGCCAUUUACAGUGUCUUAUCUCGUAAAUUCAUUUGGGUUUUCCUCAGAUACUGCCGUGUCCUUGUCUAAUAGGGUCAAUUUUGAAACAACUGAAAAACCGGAUGCUGUCCUUGAAUUCCUCAGAGACCAAGGAUUCACCAUUGCCCAAAUCUCCAGAUUCGUCAAGCUAAGCCCUAGACUGCUUGUAGCUAAUCCCAAGAAGACCCUUUUACCCAAAAUUGAGUUUUUUCGGUCUGUGGGGAUUUUAGGAGAUGAUCUUGUGGAUGUGACCUGGAGGAUCAUGUGGCUUAGCCUGAAGAAUCAAAUCAUCCCCACUUAUAAAUUCUUGAAGAACUUUCUUAAAGAUGAUGAAAAGGUUCUUAUUGUGUUGAAGCGGGCAGCCUUCUUGCACAAUUUUCCAAAGUUGAUCGCCCCAAAUAUCUCCCGUUUACAGCAACUUGGAGUACCCCAAUCCUCUAUCUCGGUAAUGCUUACCCGUAACCCCACCGUGCUGCGCCAAAAGGCUGAGAGGUUUGAUGAAUGCAUCAAGAUGAUUACUGAAAUGGGAUUUGACCCUUUGCAGAUUAAAUUUGUUGUCGCACUUCGAGUAGUUUCUACACUGAGGCGGGAAUUGUGGGAACACAGAUUGAAAGUUUAUAGGGAGUGGGGCUGGUCUGAAAGUGAGAUCUUGUUGGCUUUUAGACUGCAUCCCCUUUUUAUGACUUUGUCUGAGGUGAAUAUCACAAGAAAAUUGGAUUUUCUUGUAAACAAAUUGGGUUGGGCAUCGGCAGCUGUUGCUAAAGCUUCGUAUGUUUUAACUUAUAAUAUGGAGAAGAGGAUGAUUCCCAGGUGUUCAGUAAUUCAGGCAUUGAUUUUCAAAAGGUUAGUAAACGAAGAACUUGCCUUGUCAAGUAUUUUAUGUAUCACUGACAAGACCUUUCUGGAUAAGUUUGUGAAUAGAUGCCAAGAGCAUGCGCCGUUACUGUUUGAUAUCUUUCAAGGGAAAGUGAAAAUCUUUGAGACCGGAUUUGGAUUUGAAGGAAUAUCGGAGGUUAAACCAUUUUAGCACGAGGCUCAUUGGUUCCUCGACAAUGGUGUUCAAUUCAUCCCAGCUAAUUCAAGAUCCUAGAUUUGUUGACAUAUGACAUAUUUACUUGCUCCAAGUCUUUAUCAAGGCUUUGUUAUGAGUACAUCUCUAAGUUUGUUUUGACUUUCUCUUAUUGGUUUAGACAUCUAGAUGUACAUGAAGGUGAUGGCCUGACAAUGCCAUUGUUGCUUCAGUUAACUCUCUAAAGCUUUCUCUGAAUAUUGUCGCAGCUUCACCAGUGUCUCUAAGGUGACGAGGACCAAGGUGCUGAUGAAGCCGCUGUUGCUCCAGUUAAGGCCUUCUGGGAUUAUUAUGGCAAUUUCACUGGUGACUGGUGUUGCAUUACACUCGGUCGUUGAAAUUCUAAGAGGUCGUGGACUCACCAACGCCCAAACAUAGCUACUCUUAGUUGAUGCAGGGUUUGGGUCAUGGAUAGUAUUGCACUUUCUUCUCAACUAUGAGCAGAGUUUUUCUGCAACCCACUUCCGUCGGCAACUGUUUCUUGCUUACUCUACAUGGCUACUACUUGCCCUUCAUGUGUGGUGAUUGCAAGUUCCAUUGUUAUUGGUAGAAUUUACAUCUAUUGAAGAAAAUCAAGAAACUACAGGUAGAGUUGGCUUCAUAGGUUGAGGAGCUGCCAUGGAGGAUAGAAAAUAGUAAUUGUGUACUUUCCUUGGAGGAAGAGAGUUCCAUUUGUUUGUCAAUGGAGUUUCUUAUGUUUGGUAAAAUUAUUUUCAAGUAAAAUUUAUGACCUUGAAUGCUGGACUAGUAUGAAAAGAUAUACAUAUCCAUUUUGUUUACUGUUUGCUUUUU